CGGAGGGAUGAUUACCACGNUGGGUAACCUGCCCCUACGACUGGGAUGACUCCGGGAAAUGAGGGCUAAUAACGGAUAAUUUUUUGAACUGCAUGGAUCCCAAUUGAGAGGCGGCUUCUGCUGUCACUUAUGGAUGGACCCGCGACGCAUUAUCUAUGGGGUGAGGUAACGGCUCACCAAGGCAACAAUGCGACNCCGACCUGACNNGGUGAUCGGCCACACUGGGACUGAUACACAGCCCNNACUCCUACGGGAGGCAGCANGCCGGAAUCUUCCACAAUGGACUAAAGUCUGACGGAUCUUUCCNCGUGANUGANGAAGGCUUUCCGGUCGUAAAACUCUGUUGUUAGGGAAGAACAAGUGCUAGUUGAAUAACNUGGCACCUUGACGGUACCUAAACUUAAAGCCACGGAUAACUACGUGCCAGCAUCCGCGGUAAUAANNAGGUGGCCAGCNUUAUCCNGAAUUAUUGGNCUUANAGANCGCGCAGGUGGUUUCUUAAGUCUGAUAUGGGAAACUGAGAAACUUGAGUGCAGAAGAGGAAACUGUAAUUCCAUGUGUACCGGUGAAAUGCGUAGAUAUGGACGAACACCAUUGGAUAACGCGACUUUCUGGUCUGUAACUGACACUGACGAGCGAAAGCGUGGGGAGCAAACAGGAUUAGAUUAGAUACCCUGGUACUCCACGCGGUAAACGAUGAUGUCUAAGUGUUAGAGGGUUUCCGCCCUUUACUCCUGGUAGUCCACGCCGUAAACGAUGAGUGCUAAGUGUUAGAGGGUUUCCGCCCUUUAGUGCUGAAGUUAACGCAUUAACCACUCAGCCGC
rnacentral:rRNA from 1 species